rnacentral:rRNA from 1 species
GUCGAGUAUAAUUCACAAUGGACGAAAGUCUGAUGGUGCAACGCCGCGUGGAGGAUGAAGGUCUUCGGAUUGUAAACUCCUGUCAUCGGGGAGUAAGACCUGGCGGUAAAUAGCCGACAGGGUUGAUAGUACCCGAAGAGGAAGGGACGGCUAACUUCGUGCCAGCAGCCGCGGUAAUACGAAGGUCCCAAGCGUUGUUCGGAAUCACUGGGCGUAAAGGGAGCGUAGGCGGCGUGGUAAGUCAGAUGUGAAAUCCCGGGGCUCAACCCCGGAACUGCAUCCGAUACGGCCAUGCUUGAGGGUUGGAGAGGUAGCUGGAAUUCUCGGUGUAGCAGUGAAAUGCGUGGAUAUAGGAAGGAACACCAGUGGCGAAGGCGACUACCUGGACUGAUACUGACACUGAGGUGCGAAAGCGUGGGGAGCAAACAGGAUUAGAAACCCUGGUAGUCC